UGCCGGGUCCUUAACCCACUGAGCAAGGGCAGGGACCGAACCCGCAACCUCAUGGUUCCUAGUCGGAUUCGCUAACCACUGCGCCACAACGGGAACUCCGCCAUUCAAAUAUUAACUGGCAGCUGUGGAAAGUCCAAGAAGCACUUAAAUCUCUUUACCUUUUUCUUGCAUUUUUAUUCUUACCUCAAACUCUGUCUUUAACCCCAGGUCUACCCCCUAAGUCCUAAUCAGAAAGCUGUCAAGCCUGAGGUCCUCCUCCUCUUUACUCCACUUUCUACUGUCUCAUCUUUCUAGUAAGAAACUCUUGCCCCUGUUGCUAGUGGGGGUUAAUUAUCCUAGUCUUUCACCUUGUAAGGCUGUGAUUCUUAGAAACUGUUAUCCUCACUUUGUACCACCAGGGACCAUAGACCAAAGGUGCACAGGAAGGACUUAUCUCUUCCAGGGGAGCGUGAGGCUUUCAGCCAAAGAAGAAGUUUUUAGGGGAAAGGGAGAAUUUAACACAAUUUUUUUUUUUCUUAAAUCCCCAUCACAUAGGGCCCUCCAGUAACUAUGGAGGACCAAAUGGACAGGUGACAAACAUAAUUUAUAAAGCUGUUGCAGUAAUCCAGGUAAGUUUCCAAACUAAGAUAGUGACCAUGUGGAUAAAAGGGGGACUGAUUGCAGGGGUCUUGUGAAGGUAGAAACCAAUAGAACUGAGCUCUGAUUAUAUUGCACAUUAAAGAAGAAGAGUGAGUGAGAGAUUACUAGCUUGGCCAAACUGGCUGAUGAGCCUUAAGUGAAAUGCAUGCAAUAGAGAAGGGAAAGCACACUACAGUGUGUUUGAGCUGCUGGUAGGAAAUUCAAGUGUAGCACCCAGUGGCUUAUGUACAGUCUAGAGCUGAGAAGAGAGGUUUGACCCUAAAGUAGAGCUGGAGGGUUGUCUUUGGGAGUGGGUGUGUUCACCUAGGAAAAAGCAGUGGCUGGCUGGCUUCUUACCAUGUUAUAUACAUAUAAAUAAUGCCUAUCUAGUUGAGGGCCUAAUGUGCCAGACAUUGUACCAAGCCCUUUACAUGCCUUCUCUCUCAAAAAGCCCCUACAGAGUAGAUAUUUUAAUCUAAUCCUACUGAUGAGGAACUCCUAAAAAGGUAGGUGUCUUGCCAAAGGUCCCGCAACGAGCAGGGGGUAUGGCCAGGCUUGAGUUCAGGUUAGUGAGAUCAGUGGUUCUUAAAUCUUUUUUUUUUUUUUUUCCCCUACAUUCUCAGAAUCACAUGAAAGAAAUUAUAGGUUCUCUCUGAGUGAGGCACAGGCACCCCACAUUUUCUCUUCCACUUCCAGGAUUUACAAACUUGAAGCCCAUCCUCUGGGGCCCAGGGGGAGAAGACAGACCAAGAUGAAACCCUGGAGAAGAGAGUAUUUUGAAGAUGGACAGAGAAGCAGGACUGAAGGAAGAAAGCAGGAUAAUUGGAACAACAGGUGUUCACUGAGAGGGAGAGUUAGAAGAUCCUGGGCAGGGAGACUGUGGAAGAAUUAAAGCUCGAGCCAGACUGCUCUUGCCAGGAUGACCAUUCAGCAAACCUGGGAUCCUCCUCCAGCAAAUCCAGCUGCUUUGCCUCUAGGGUUCAUUCCACCGUUAGUUAUUCAACGCCUAUCCAGCUCAGGUCCAUGAUGACACUUAAAAUCGGGCCAUUCCUCUGCUGCCAACCUCCAGGGACUUUUCUCUUUCCUCCCUUAGAUAAUUUUCUGCAUGAUCUCACCCUCCUUUUUAUUUAAAUAUCUCCUUACCAGAGAGGCCUUCUGUGACACUGAUACAGAGCUCUUCACACCCUGUAUCACUUUGUCACCUAUAUCCAGCUUUGUAUUUCUUUUUUCACAGCAGCUGUCCCAAUCUGACCACAUUUAUAAUUGGGAAAAAGAUUCCCUUUGCCAAUAUCUAUAUAGGUUUUUUUAAAAGCUGUAUUUAGUAAGAUUGGCUUUGGCAGAUUCUAGAGUCUUAGGUUAUGGUAUCCUUCUAAAAAGGAGUAACUUCCAGUCUUUUAUAGGUACUUAUUUCUGAGGGAAACCUUCUGAUACAUUUCAUUUCUCAACUUUUAAGUACUAAGCACUGUUUUUAAUUAUGGGCUUCUACUCUGUAGCAUUUUUCUCUUCUUUUUUUACCCAAGGCACAUGGAAGUUUCUAGGCCAGGGAUCUCAGGAGUGACAAUGCUGGAUCCUUAACCCACUGAGCCACCAUGGACCUCCAUCUUCUGUUUAAAGACUGGCUAAGAAUAUGGAGGACAAGGAGCUAUGUUCUCUGAAAUGAUGUAAACUGAGAGAUGUAGAAGGAAGGCAACAGUGGUCUAAAGGUGAUGUAUUCGCCCUCUGCAAAAUUCACUUUCCUGGAUUUUUUCCUAAGAAAAUAAGCAGAUGUGGAAAAGCAUUGUAAAAUGUAGCAGUGUUCACAACAGGGUUACUUGUAAUAGGGAAAAAUUGGAAACAACAUAACUUUGUAAUCAGGAGAGGAUAAAUUAUGGCACAUUCAAUACACUGAAAUAGCAAAGUCCUUAAAGGAUAAGUGGAAGUUUCAAGGAGUUCGGCCUCUUUGAUCUGCCACUACUUACACAAUGUCUGAUACAUGACAGCCUCUUAAAAAUAUUUACUGGCUCAGUGAUUUGUACAGAGACAUGAAAAGAUGCAUUUUAUUUUGAAAGAAAAAAAGCUACUUAAAAAACUGCAUGUAAAAUACAUGAACAUUAUGUUUAAACGUGUUAGAGUGCUUGUAUCUGAAUAUGAAUGCCCUUGAUGGAUAUGUGAAAUGUGCUGAAGGUAGUUCCUCUAUAAAAAGGAUCUAGGCAAUCACUAGAAGAAAGCGUUUUCUUCUUUAAGUGAUACUAUUUGGAACUUUCCUGUGUGUACCUAAAACCUUGGGGUUUUUAUGUGUGUGUGUGUGUAUUUGGAGGCUGUUUUCCAAAUUUUUAAAUGCAUAUAAAUGAAUAAAAAGUCCUGGGAGGAUAUAUAACAAUCUUAAAAUGGUUAUUUGGGGAAGAAUCAGAAGAAUCUUAGGAGUAGGUGAAUGUGUAUAUGAAUUAUGGAAAUUAACACUUUCUCAUCUCAGAGUUCUCCUGUGGCACAGUGGGUUAAAAACCUGUCAUUGUUACUGCAGCACCUUGGGUUGAUGACGUGGUACAGGUACAAUCCCUGACCUGGGAACUUCCACAUGCUGCAGGCAUGCCCCUAACCCCCCAAAGACUUUUUCAUCUCGAUUUUUAGUUUUUAAAAAACAAUCAGGUAUUACCUAGAAAAGGAUGCUAUUUCUUUUUUCAAAUACGAUUUUUUUUGAAUGACUGCACCCACAGCAUA